GUAAUAUUUUCAUCCAAGGUCAUAUACAAAAAAUAUUUAAUAUACACAUAAUAAUAUGAUAAAUAUAAAACAAUAUCAUAUAAUAACUAAUAAAAUAAUGAUCAAUAUCAUUUGUAUUGAUUUUUAUCACAGAAAAGCCAGAUAUAUUUUUGUAAAUUAAAAACGCAAAAAAAUACAUAAAAACCUGUUUAAGACAGUUGACGUUAGUAGAUUAUUCAUUUCCUGUUGGAUACCGCAGAAAUCUCUAGUAAUAACUAUUUUGGAGGACUAUAGUCUGAAUUUUAGUUUGUUAGAAGAAAGAAUCAUUCAGAAUGACCUCCACGAACAUAAAUGUUGGAUUAAGUGAUUCUACAAGGAAUUCUAGUAGAGUAUUGAGACCUCCGGGUGGUGGACACACGAAUAUUUUUGAUAAUGAGAAGAACGAGACUAAAACUACUAGGAAAGAUCAUGGCAGAAAUGCUUCAUCAAUUCUUGAAGGAACUAAUACAGACAUCACACAAACAAGUCCAGUGAAGACUGUUCUUCCUUCUUCACAGCCUGAAAUAAGUAAAGAACCAGCAUCUUCUGUCCAACAGAAAGGAAGAGUCCCUCCAGGAGGAUUUUCAUCAAAGCUUUGGUGAAUGAAUGCAUGUUAUAUAUUUGGAAUUUCGCCUAUUGGAAACUAUGAUAUAGUACUUAUAUUUUCAUGUAAUUUUUCACUUUUGACAAUUUUUAAAUAAAAUUUUUUUGAGCUAAUUAAA